rnacentral:rRNA from 1 species
UACAGAGGUCCCGAGCGUUGUUCGGAAUCACUGGGCGUAAAGGGCGCGUAGGCGGCCCUCCUUGUCGCGUGUGAAAGCCCCGGGCUCAACCUGGGAACGGCGCGCGAGACGGGGGGGCUGGAGUUCGGGAGAGGAGCGUGGAAUUCCCAGUGUAGAGGUGAAAUUCGUAGAUAUUGGGAAGAACACCGGUGGCGAAGGCGGCGCUCUGGACCGAGACUGACGCUGAGGCGCGAAAGCGUGGGGAGCAAACAGG